CCCAACGAACUUCGACGAAGUAACUGAGUUCAUCCAAGAACUUGGAUUGGCGCAAGUAGUCAAAGACGAGGAAGGAACUACUCUCGUAUUCACGGAAGCAGUGAAUAGUAUUCCGCUGGUGCAAUCAUCACCAUUUGACCCAAAUUUGACAGCUGCUCCAUCCAGUGCUGACCAAUUCUUCGGUGAACCAUCGAAACCACCAUUUCAUACUGAGACUACAACAAUCGUCGAUGCACCCAAAUUAAAC